GACUAGCGUCACAGAUGACGCGACCAAAAUGGCCGACAAACACCUGAGCUGUAACUUCCCCCAACCGACUGUUUGUGAACCUCCUUCUUAAAGAAAGAUAGUUGGAUGAACUGACUGAUGCAUUUCGUGGUGUUGAACGCCAGGUGGCGCCCUCCACCCAUCAACCGGACUGACGCUGCAGUGCGGAAGCGACGGGCUUUGGUGCUUUGAAAGAGUUCUAAACUGAAUCAUGUGGAAACAACACAUGCAUCGUAGCUGGCAGACAAUUACACUUUGUUUCAUGCUCUACUGUUGCUUUGUUCAACAUGCUAUACUGUGAUUAUUUAAAAAAAAAAAUUGACCUAAUAUCUGUCCCAUGACAUUUCCACCUCACAUGUUUUGACCUAAUAUAUUUAGACUUUUAAAUGUGUGCUCUCAGAGGCUGUAAUGAGCACUUCACAAACGGCAACCUUUCAUUUCAUAUUUCCACUCUGUCUGAUUAACUCUAACUAAAUGUAACUACUUAACUAUAGCAGACACUCUAUGUAAAUGAAUGGGAAUCUAUUUUUGUUUGUUUCCUGUAUUUUCAUGUCCUUUUCAUCUUCAUUUUUGUAAAAUGAUUUCCACUUACACCAAAAACAAAAUUCCAAAAUAUGUUGUCUAAAAAUGCAAUGGAGAAAACAAAAGUCAAAAGUUACAAUAUGCCAAUUACAUGUCAUGGAAAUCUCCCCUUUGUCAUGAAAAUAGUCAAAAACGGAAUAUUGAAAAAUGUUUUUAAAAAAACCUGAAUAAAAGUAUCCCAUGGCACGUAUGUCAGUAUGUAACAUGUCUGUAACCCUAAACAUGUCAUGGGGGAUGAAAAGCUUUAACCCCUCGGUUGAAAGUAUGAAAAAAAAAGAUUUUCUUAGAUGGAGCAACCUACCUGUCACUACCGUAACAGUGCAGCUUAUAAAAAUGAAUGCAUUCCCUAAAUCUGUACUUGUUUAGAUGCUUACCAAUGUCCUUUUUCCUUUUGGUACAAUUAUUGUGUGGGUGGCCUGGCUCUUCCUUAAUCAUUUUUUUAUUAUUGGGAAACUUAACAUUCAAAAAACAUCUGUGGGUGUUUCUGUUGUGCUUUAUUUUCUCUCAUUUUUUGUGUCACAUCCCGUUCUUCAUCUUUGUAAACUGAUUUGUGAAAAAUACUUUGAAAUUUGAAUAUAUUUCAAAAUAUGUUGUGACUAAAAUGUCAUAGAGGAAGAAGAAAAAAUAGAAAUAUGAAAGGCAAAAGAGAAGAAAAAAAAAAAAAGUUAAAAGGUACAAUACAUACAGCUUAAAGCAAUUAGUUCACUUCUUCAUUCAAAAGAUGCUUGUCAAUGCCACCUAAACUCUGGGCAUGUCCCCUUCUCUGUUUGCAUAACCCCCAGGCUCAACUUGUCUGAAACAACCAGUGGGGACAAAGCCCCCACUACUACCUCCACGGUAGCGCACUCAAGACCUGGCAGUGGUGGGAUUUGAACCCACUAGCACCUACAGAGGUUUUGGGCCCCUGCACCACUACACCACCAGUCCUGCUCACAUUAGAUAAACUUUGUUUCUCCUAUUUAACCGUGAGAAGGUGAAUUUAACCUCAAAACUCUUUCAAACACUAAGACUCAUUUCCACAAGUGGGCUUGAACCCACAACCUACAACGGAGGUUGGAGACAGAUGCUUUGCUUCUGCGCCACCUCAUCUCACAUUGAUCUGGAUCUCAUUUCUACUAUUUAACCUUCAGCUUGCGAGUUAAACCUCAAAACUCUUUCAAACGCUGAGACUCAUCCCCAUGACUGGGCUUAAGCAGCCCUCAAGUCAUUCUCUUGCACUAUUUGACCACACGCAUCUUGAUAUCAGUUUCUCGUAUUUAAACUUGAGAUUGCUUCUCUAACCCGUUUCAAAGCCUAUUGAUCGAAUCCAUGACUGCACUCAUGUGCUCCAUCUGAGAGAGAAGGGGUUUGAACCAAGGACCCUCCACACCUCAGCCUCGCAGCUGCUCCCCUGAGCUAUUCCACCGCACACUGCAACCUCACAUUAAUUCUGGUGUUUGUCGAGUCAGCAAGUCGAACCUCGAUAUUCUAAAGUUGGAAGCCACUACCGCUCCAUACUAUUAUAAUAGUACUGCGGUUAAAAUAAGGUCAUAGUACUGAUGCGUGAGAUGAUCAGUCCCGACUCCCCUGUGGAGCAAACCCGUCUGAGGAUUCUCCGAGGUUCCUCCUCAGCAGAGUGGAGAACAAAUCCCAGAAGAAAUAAACACGUUUGACCUUCAGGGAUCAGCUCACUCGGAUGAGUAGCUGACUCUUAACACACGGCACCCGGAGGAGAAAGGAUGGAAUCCCAAGCGUGGCUCAGGAACGUCUGCUCUGAUUCCACCUUGUCGGUUCCACAGAGCAAGUUUGGUAAAAUCACCAUAGCAACACAACGAAAAACUUUGGCGAACAACAAACCGAGCCGAGCUCUGACUGUCUCUCAUCCUGUACAUUUCUCUAGCGUUGUGCUCUUCGUAAGUUCUGUUUGUUUUGCCCGUAAUAAACUUUCACUGCUUCAAUUCA